rnacentral:tRNA from 1 species
GGGGCAUGGCUCAGGGGCAGAGCACUUGCCUAGCAUGCACGUGGCUCUGGGUUCCAUCCCCAGCACCG